rnacentral:rRNA from 1 species
CACUUGAGAGGAUGUAUAGCAAUAGCUAAUUACACUUAUAAAUAAUAAGUGUAAGAUCGACUAUGUCGAAUAAAAUUCUAGAUAGAAUUAUGAUAAUGACAUUGUCUAUCUAUGUGUCUUGGCCAAAUUACGUGCCAGCAGCCGCGGUAAUACGUAGAAGACAAGUGUUAUUCAUCUUUAAUAGGUUUAAAGGGUACCUAGACGGUAAAUCGAGCCUGCAAAAGGGACUAAUUUACUAGAGUUUAAUAUGAGGAAGUUUGAAAGUACUGUUGGUGUAGAGAUGAAAUUCAAUGAAACCAAAUAUGGCACAGGUAUAGGCGAAAGCAUCUUCUUAUGUAAUAACUGACGUUGAGGGACGAAGGCUUUGUGUAUCGAUUAGGAUUAGAUACCCUAGUAGUCUAAGCAGAAAAUUAUGAGUGUCAUAGGCUAGAUCUAUAUUUUUUUUUGGCCUAUAAAUGAAAGUGUAAGCAUUCCACCUCAAGAGUAAUUUGGCAACAUUGGAACUGAAAUCAUUAGACCGUUUCUGAAACCAGUAGUGAAGUAUGUUGUUUAAUUUGAUGACCCGCAAAAAACCUUACCACAAUUUGAAUGUUUGUAAAGAUUAUAAUGCUUGUCUUUUAAUAGAGAUAAGAAGUUUCAUAUUUACAAGUACAAGCGUUGCACGGCUGUCUUCAGUUAAUGUCGUGAGAUUUUGGUUAGUUCCAUUAAAUUAACGUAAACCCGUACUUUAUUUAUUUAUAAGGUAGUUCACCGCUAUAUUGGAUAUGAUAAAAGGGACUAAGACAAGUC